rnacentral:rRNA from 1 species
UACAGAGGUCCCAAGCGUUGUUCGGAUUCACUGGGCGUAAAGGGUGCGUAGGCGGUCGAGUAAGUCUGAUGUGAAAUCUCACAGCUUAACUGUGAAACUGCAUUGGAUACUAUCCGGCUCGAGGAAUGGAGGGGAGACUGGAAUACUUGGUGUAGCAAUGAAAUGCGUAGAUAUCAAGUGGAACACCAGUGGCGAAGGCGAGUCUCUGGACAUUUCCUGACGCUGAGGCACGAAAGCCAGGGGAGCAAACGGG